rnacentral:rRNA from 1 species
GUAGGUGGCAAGCGUUGUCCGGAAUUAUUAGGCGUAAAGCGCGCGCAGGUGGUUCUUUAAGUCUGAUGUGAAAGCCCCCGGGCUCAACCGGGGAGGGUCAUUGGAAACUGGGGAACUUGAGUGCAGGAGAGGAAAGUGGAAUUCCACGUGUAGCGGUGAAAUGCGUAGAUAUGUGGAGGAACACCAGUGGCGAAGGCGACUUUCUGGCCUGUAACUGACACUGAGGCGCGAAAGCGUGGGGAGCAAACAGGAUUAGAUACCCUGGUAGUCCACGCCGUAAACGAUGAGUGCUAAGUGUUGGGGGGUUUCCGCCCCUCAGUGCUGCAGCUAACGCAUUAAGCACUCCGCCUGGGGAGUACGGUCGCAAAGACUG